rnacentral:rRNA from 1 species
UGAGAGUGGCGCACGGGUGCGCAACGCGUAUGCAACAACCCCCGACAGGCGGAUAGACCGGUGGAAAACGCCGGGAUAAUACGCCAUGGUUCCUCGGGAGGGCGAUCCUCCUGAGGAUAAAGCCGAGAGGCGGUCGGGGACGGGCAUGCGUCCCAUUAGAUGGUAGGCGGGGUGACGGCCCACCUAGUCCGCGAUGGGUAGGGGAUCUGAGAGGACGGUCCCCCACACUGGUACUGAGACACGGACCAGACUCCUGCGGGAGGCAGCAGUAAGGGAUAUUGGGUCAAUGGGGGCAACCCUGAACCAGCCAUGCCCGCGUGAGGGAAUGAGGCCCUACGGGUCGUGAACCUCUUUUAUUCGGGGACAAGGACUGGGCCGCGAACCUAGUUUGAGGGUACCGAAGGAAUAAGCAUCGGCUAACUCCGUGCCAGCAGCCGC